rnacentral:lncRNA from 1 species
GCCAAUGAAUCCACUCGAAGUAUGGAUCUUCCAAAGUUUCAGGCAAACAUAGACCGUGAUCAAUUGGAAUGAGCUCCACCUGCCCAAAGCUCCCAACACCAUCAAGCUUCCUUACCAAAAGGUUCCCUGCAUGUCUAUCCGUGUUGAAAAUUCUAAUAUCUAGUAUCCCUAUGUGAUGCACCUCAGAAACAGGAAAGCUUGAGGUUCCAUGAUCACUAGCAUCGAAAUUAUGCUUUAUGAACUGCUGGAAAGAUGCAAUCUUGCUGACCAGAUUCUUGUUGUGAGUCUUGUUCCCAUUCACCCCAUCAUUGAUAUUAAAGAUCGAGU